UACGUAGGGGGCUAGCGUUGUCCGGAUUUACUGGGCGUAAAGAGCGCGCAGGCGGUCGAUCAAGUCGCGUGUGAAAGCCCCCGGCUCAACUGGGGAGGUCACGCGAUACUGAUCGACUCGAAGGCAGGAGAGGGUAGUGGAAUUCCCGGUGUAGAGGUGAAAUUCGUAGAUAUCGGGAGGAACACCGGUGGCGAAGGCGGCGACCUGGGUCGACACUGACGCUGAG
rnacentral:rRNA from 1 species